rnacentral:rRNA from 1 species
UUUUGGAGGGCAAGUCUGGUGCCAGCAGCCGCGGUAAUUCCAGCUCCAAUAGCGUAUAUUAAAGUUGUUGCAGUUAAAAAGCUCGUAGUUGAAUUUCGGGAUCAAUAUGUUGGUCGUGCUUCGGUACGUACUGUCAUUAUUGGUUUCUCCCUUCUGAAGAACCUUGAUGUCAUUAAUUUGGUGUCUUGGGAAUUCAGGACUGUUACUUUGAAAAAAUUAAAGUGUUUAAAGC